CCCGAAACAAGGUUUUGUGUAAAAGGGACACAGUUUUGUCAAAAUGGACCUCUCAUAGCAGGUUUAGGAGGACUUACGCAGUAGGUUAGGAGAAUUAACGUAGCAGGUUUAGGAGGACUUACGCAGUAGGUUAGGAGAAUUAACGUAGCAGGUCAGAAAAUUAGGUUAAGCGUAUCCCAUCUAGACAUGACCCCGAAACAAGGCCAAUAAUA